GCCAGGUGUGGUGGCGCACACCUGUAGUCCCACCUACUCAGGAGGCUGAGGCAGGAGAAUCGCUUGAACCCAGGAGGCAGAGGCUGCAGUGAGCUGAGAUCACACCACUGCACUCCAGCCUGGGUGACAGAGUGAGACUCUGUCUCAA
rnacentral:SRP_RNA from 1 species